CAGAUGAGCUAAAAAUCUCUGAAAUACAGUGUCUUAAGAUUUUUUUAAUGUGUCAAGUAGGCAUAGUACUAGAGCCGAUUUACGCAAUCGAAUACCGCCGGAAGUAGAACAUUUAUGUUAACACCGGUUUCGUAUUUUCACGUGAAAACGGCCGAAGACUGAGAGGUUAUCAACAAAUUAUAAGUUUACGGGUACCAUGAGGAUUUUUCAUGCAUUUAAACGAAAGAAGUACAAGCGAACAGAUGACACAUUAAGUGGCUGCAGAAGCUUGAAAAGUUUGAUAGAGCAGGGGCAGUCAAAACAGUGGGAUACUACUUCUAUGGUGUCCAACAUGUCUAGUCAGGUUGACAGAAGUGAAAGAUGGUCUGAUGGUACAAUGAUGUACAAAUGAUACUCUUUAACAAGUUUAACAUGUCAAGGUGUAAAAUGUUCUGUGGAUUCAUAUGAUGAGAAUGCCAGUGUUGACCUGUAUGACUUAAUUAAACACAGAUAUUGAUACCUUCAGAUAUAUACCUGUGAAAUCUUCAGUGUCACCGUUCAGCUGUUGUUCAAGAUCAGUGUCUGCAGCUUGCACAGUUUAGUAUAGAGGAGCCUCCUGAAUCAACUUUGUUACAUAUUUGCUGUUAUUGUACGACACACAUGUAGAGAACAGCAAGUCCUGUCCAGCGGUGCAUGUAAAUGUGAUUCAGAAACUUUGAGAAUAUGUAAACAUUACACUGUUAUAAUGUUCAAAAUACUGUCUUGUAGUGUAUCAGUACUGUUUUUGUCUCAGUUUAUAGCACAGUAUGUUCACAAAUCAAACUUAAGACCAUAGUGAUCAGUAUUAUUAAAAUCAUUAAUGAUUUGUAUGGUGACAAAAUUUAAUUUCAUGCAAUACCACAGUAAAACGUUUGAUAAUUUUUGCUUUUAAAGUUGUAAGUUUAAGGUUGGCAUAAAUUGUUUUUUUUUCUUUCAUAAAUCUAAAAAGUGAUUGGUCAUUAUAACUGCAAUAUCAUUUUAGUAUGACAAAGUUUAUAUUGAACUAAAACACUAAUGUAAAUUUUUGAACUAAUCAAUGCAUUUUCUUCAGUCUUAAAACAUUUGUUUAUCGUAUGUGUCAUGGCCCAUAACUCCUCCAUAUUUCUUGUGUUUUGUCCUUUUUCAUUUCACUGAAGAGUAGGUAGAGGUAUUGCACAUCCAUUUUUUAGCAUCCUGAUUUUGUAAAGUGUUGUAUAUAAGGUUUUAUCUCGGAAUUAUGUCUCAUCUAAAGGUGGAGAGAGGUAUUAAUUAUGCCUUCUCGUCUGUCCGCAUUAAGCCUGUCUGGCUUUAAGAGGACAAGCUGCUGGCCAGAUUUUGAUGAAACUUCACAGGACUGAUCAGUACCAAGCAUAGUGUUGUGCAUAUCGCUUGCAUGUUUCGUUUUGAUGCACUAAAUUGCAGCCAGAGCUAAAAAUAGAAAAAUCUUGUCGGCUUUCACAGGUUAAAACUACUUAACAGAUUUUGAUGAAACUUCACGAGUGAUCAGUACCAAGUAUAUUUUUGCAUAUCACUGACACUUUCCAUUUUGCUGCACAAAAUAGCCGCCACAGCUAAAGGUAUACAUAGAUUGGAGACAUGUUUUGUCAUAAAAAUACCUAAAACACCUUCCACUUUGUUAAUGAAAAAUGUAACAAACGUCUUACAAUUGCAAACUGUAAUAAUUUGACAUUAAAUGCACUAGUUCCAUAACUGCAUUUGGCUUUUUCAUAAUUAUUGCCCUUUUCUUACCAUAGCAAUAUUUUGUGUAACAUGUUACUUCAUUAAGCAUCAUAAGAUCAGAAAGUUCUAUGACUCAGAAAUGUUGGCCCUUUUGUACUUGUCAUGAGUAUGUUUUCAGUAUUUUAAAUUGUCAUUACUUUUUGUUGUGCCAGUUUACGGAAAUGAAGACUUAGUUGUCCAAAUGGUGUGCCUGUCCUGAUUUGUUUGUCUGGACAAUAUACUAUUGAUUAGUCUUCACGAAUCUUUGCAGGUUAAUUUCCUUAAGUUCCCUGUCAACUUUGAUAGUGGCAUGGUUACUUUAGAAACACUAAAGUGAUGUCACCUCUGUACUAGUCAAACGUUUUGUAUCUCAGAUUUUAUAUCACAUUACAGGCUACUGGUCUUCAGCAGCCUCCAUAAAACUUUCAUAAAAGUUUCCAAAAAUGUUGUAUUUUGAUUUGAACUGGCAUUAUUCAAACAGUACUUUUUGAUUUUCUGUUACUAUGAAGUUGCCUUUUCUUAGAAAUUGGUUGGCUUAUUUUUGUAGCUAUGUUCUUUAUCUCAUGAAAAUUUCCAUUUUUAGCUCACCUGUCACAAAGUGACAAGGUGAGCUUUUGUGAUCACGCGGUGUCCGUCGUCCGUCGUGCGUACGUGCGUCCGUGCGUCCGUAAACUUUUGCUUGUGACCAUUCUAGAGGUCACAUUUUUCAUGGGAUCUUUAUGAAAGUUGGUCAGAAUGUUCAUCUUGAUGAUAUCUAGGUCAAGUUCGAAACUGGGUCACGUGCCGUCAAAAACUAGGUCAGUAGGUCUAAAAAUAGAAAAACCUUGUGACCUCUCUAGAGGCCAUAUAUUUCAGAAGAUCUUCAUGAAAAUUGGUAAGAAUGUUCACCUUGGUGAUAUCUAGGUCAAGUUCGAAACUAGGUCACGUCGGUUCAAAAACUAGGUCAGUAGGUCUAAAAAUAGAAAAACCUUGUGACCUCUCUAGAGGCCAUAUUUUUCAUUAGAUCUUCAUGAAUAUUGGUCAGAAUGUUUACCUUGAUGAUAUCUAGGUCAAGUUCGAAACUCGGUCACGUAGGGUCAAAAACUAGGUCAUUAGGUCUAAAAAUAGAAAAACCUUGUGACCUCUCUAGAGGCCAUAUUUCUCAAUGGAUCUUCAUGAAAAUUGGCCAGAAUGUUUACCUUGAUGAUAUCUAGGUCAAGUUCGAAACUGGGUCACAUGGGGUUAAAAACUAGGUCAGUAGAUCUAAAAAUAGAAAAACCUUGUGACCUCUCUAGAGGCCAUAUUUUUCAUGAGAUCUUCAUGAAUAUUGGUCAGAAUGUUCACAUUGAUGAUAUCUAGGUCAAGUUCGAAACUGGGUCAUGUGGGGUCAAAAACUAGGUCAGUAGAUCUAAAAAUAGAAAAACCUUGUGACCUCUCUAGAGGCCAUAUUUCUCAAUGGAUCUUCAUGAAAAUUGGUCAGAAUGUUCACCUUGAUGAUAUCUAGGUCAAGUUCGAAACUGGGUCACGUGCGGUCAAAAACUAGGUCAGUAGGUCUAAAAAUAGGAAAACCUUGUGACCUCUCUAGAGGCAAUAUUUUUCAAUGGAUCUUCAUGAAAAUUGGUCAGAGUGUUUACCUUGAAGAUAUCUAGGUCAAGAUCGAAACUGGGUCACGUGGGGUUAAAAACUAGGUCAGUAGAUCUAAAAAUAGAAAAACCUUGUGACCUCUCUAGAGGCCAUAUUUCUCAGCGGAUCUUCAUGAAAAUUGGUGAGAAUGUUCAGCUUGAUGAUAUCUAGGUCAGAUUCGUAACUGGGUCAUGUGCGGUCAAAAACUAGGUCAGUAGGUCGAAAAAUAGAAAAACCUUGUGAACUCUCUAGAGGCCAUAUUUUUCACGAGAUCUUCAUGAAAAUUGGUGAGAAUGUUCACCUUGAUGAUAUCUAGGUCAAGUUUAAAAGUGGGUCACGUGCCUUCAAAAACUAGGUCAUUAGGUCAAAUAAUAGAAUAACCUUGUGACCUCUCUAGAGGCCAUAUUUUUCAAUGGAUCUUCAUGAAAAUUGGUCAGAAUUUUUUAUCUUGAUGAUAUCUAGGUCACAUGUGCUCAAAAACUAGGUCACUAUGUCAAAUAAUAGAAAUAACGACGUCAUACUCAGUUCAACACUGGGUCAUGUGGGGAUAGGUGAGCGAUUCAGGACCAUCAUGGUCCUCUUGUUGUAUAAUUCAUAUUUUUUACUGUCAACAAAGUGCAAUACCAUAUACUUAUCACUUUCAUUAACAUACCUGUACUAUUUUCAUAAAACAUUAUAUAAAUCAUUAUAUUUCAUAUAAACAUAAUUAAAUAAAUAUUUAAGAACA